UGGCUGGUGGUGUUCUUUUCUGUGAGAGCUGUGGUGAUGGGGGAGGAAACACCACUCUGUUUCCUAAAAAGGAGUCAGGCUUGUAGCUGAGCUCCCCUCCUCUCCCCUCCCAGUCCUUGCUGGAGGCAGAGGGAGGUAUACCCAGACUCCAGCAAGUGCUGUGUGCUGGGCAAAAGCACCCGAGAGCAAGGAUGCUUAUUUUGGAGCCAAGGUCUUUUAAUAUUAGACCCAGACUAUCAUUGUUUUUCUUCCCACUUCAACCUUUGUGUCCCAUCACGAGAGGCUCAUCUGAAGGGUGGUGGACCUUAAGUGCUUUGGUUACACCUGUAGCCUUGUCAGGCGAUGUGAGAAAGGGAAAAGAGGUGUUGUGAACAGCCAAGAUAGCUUUCGGCUCACACAUCCCCCAACACUGAUUACAGAUCCACACAGACAUGAGCUCAGCCUUUUCUGGGGUCAGCUCAGAGUCAGCAGGUCCCCUAAGCUCAGGUGGUGGUGGUUUGAUUUUUGUCUGGCAGGGCCUCCCUGGUUGGUCUGCUGAGUCACAGAUAGCUUCACACACAGCUGCCUGCUCUUCUUGUCAGGUACCAACAGGCCCUCUCGCCUGUCAUUUCUGCACCAGUCCCCAAACAGAGGAGUGCAAAAGAACAACUGUUUGUUUUGUGAAUGGACUUUGCUAAGUUCUAUCUGAUCCCACCUGAUGGGCUGCUCCGGGCGCUCUUGCUCUCCCUUCAAAUUCAUGUAAACACCUGCAGCUCUUGCUCUCCCUUCAAAUUCAUGUAAACACCUGCACACGGUCCUGGAAUACUAAUUACUAGAAGCUG
rnacentral:lncRNA from 1 species